AUUAGUGAGGAAAGAUCUGAGCACCCUGAGGAAGUUCCAUCCAUCCAUCCAUCCAUCCAUCCAUCCAUCUAUCCAUCCAUCCAUCCAUCCAUCCAGACAUCCAAGGAAUCGUUUCUGACUUUCUGUCAGUCACCAUGGAUCUAGCCCUCAAGAGGCCUUGGGUUGGGGUGCUGGUCUUCUUCUGUAUUGCGAUGGUCCCUUCGGUAUCGGAGGGCUCCUGCAUAGCCAACGUGAAAUUCCAGCCGGAUGCAAUAAUGCGUAUGGUCCAGGUCACCUUGAUCAAAGGGAACAUUUUGCAGGAAAUGGUCGAGAAAGCCAUGAAAAACGGGGACAAUAGCAAGAUGAUCAAAGGCAUCAAAGGGUGAGUUGAUUUCUGUCCUCUGGGGUA